rnacentral:lncRNA from 1 species
AUGAGUCCACGCGGGGCUGGCGGCCUCCCUGCCCGCCCAUGUCCCGCACCCUCCUCCGUCUCAGCGGAAACACAGGGGCCAGGAAGCCCUUCAGAAGUUGUCAGGGGUGACCCAGGGAGAGGAGUCCCGCGCAGAAAGUGCAAACGCCUUCGUGGCGGGUGGCUGCGCCCUUCCCUGGGGCCCCUGCAGCAGAGAUGCUGUUACCUGUGCUGGCCAUACAGGGCAUGCUGGGGGCUCUGAUUUGUGUGAUCAUUUGCUCAGCGGCCCCCUCUGUGACACAGGCAGUGGAGACUACACCUACCCUUUCAGGAAUGACUCCCUGGAGAGCACCUACAUAGCCAACCAGCCCACCCAGGCCACCUGCCAAGAGGCUGAGCACACCGUCCUCCAGACGGAGUCUUCUUCUCCAUCCUCCUGGGCAUCCGAAUGGGGGAAGCUGUCCUGUGCCUCAGCCAUGUUGUCGGUGGACUCUGACACCUUCUGCAAUACAUGUGUCUGAAAAGGACAGGAGAACAUAACUGACUUAUGACCAGCCUAAGAAAUUGCAGCUGAUUGGCAGAGUUUCCUGGAUUCAGGAGGACUGGAUUUGGUGAAUAUCAAUCCCCAGCGUACUGAGAAGCUGAAGAAAAGUCCCCAGUUUUAAUAAAAGCCAUCAGUUUCCAUCUUCUUUGCUUGAA